CUUCUCUCUUCCAACUUUUCUUCUUCUUCUUUUCUCCAUCUUUUUCCCGCCCUUUUAUUCUUCUUCCUGCGUAUUAUUAUCAAUAAAAAUUAAUUACCAUCUACAUUAAAGUUUAGAAAAACGAUGGUGUUAAGGUUAAGUGUAACUAUAAUGCUGCUGCUAACAUGCGCAUCGUGGUGUAUUGAUGCAAAGUCACCAGAACAUCGGCUUUUGGUGGGCAUGACAAUGGUGAAAAAUACUACUGCAAAAGCUCUUGGAGCUUAUUGCUUGGAUGGGACUUUACCUGGAUAUCAUUUCAGCAGAGGAUUCGGUUCUGGAGUACGUAACUGGCUUUUGCAAUUUGAGGGUGGUGGAUGGUGCAAUGAUCUGGAAUCAUGCUUGGACAGGGCUAACACACGCCGUGGAUCUACAAACAUCAUGACUAAAGUGGAAAUCUUUAAGGGGAUUCUAAGCAACAAUGAAACCCUGAACCCAGACUUUUACAAUUGGAACCGAAUUAAGCUAAGAUACUGUGAUGGAGCUUCCUUUGCUGGAAAUUCCAAGUUUGACAAUGGGACUUCAUCACUUUACUUUAGAGGGCAAAAGAUUUGGCAAGCUAUGAUUUUUGAUCUUCUUUCGAAAGGCUUGGCAAAUGCAGAGAAGGCUUUGCUUUCUGGCUGCUCAGCAGGGGGUUUAGCAGCCUUCUUACAUUGUGACAACUUUGCCAGCUUCCUACCAAGGAAUGCUACUGUCAAGUGUUUGAGUGAUGCCGGAUUUUUCUUAGACGCGGCAGAUGUAUCCAAGAACUACACAAUAAGAUCCGUUUACAACGAUGUUGUUACACUUCAUGGUGUAGAACAUAAUCUUGACCAAAAUUGCACCAGUUCUCUUGAUGACAAUCCUAAACUAUGCUUCUUCCCACAACAUCUCCUAAGUUACAUUAAGACUCCCUUUUUCGUCUUAAACGCUGCUUACGAUAUGUGGCAGUUCCAUAACAUCUUUGUACCAUCUGCUGCUGAUCCGCGAAGAGAAUGGAAAUACUGCAAGUACAAUAUAACAACUUGCACUGACAGUCAACUUCAAACACUACAAGGUUAUAUUAGGUUAUCGAUUGGAAAUGCUUGAGGCUCUAUACUCUUUCUACAAACAUUCAGCAAGCGGAGGAAUGUUUAUAAAUUCAUGCUUUGCACAUUGCCAAAGUGAGUCAAAUGAAACCUGGUAUGGAGUUGACUCCCCCUUAGUGCACAACAAGACCAUUGCAGAGACUGUUGGUGAUUGGUAUUUUGAACGAAAUGAGGCAAAGUUGAUCGAUAAUCCAUAUCCUUGCAAUACUUCUUCCUGUCAUAACAUAAUACCAGCAUAGACCGAGAUACGACUAACACGGCAAAUUGUCAUACGAUAUUGGAGAAACUUUACAGUUGAAGAUGUAGAUUCAAUGAUGCUCCUUGAAUCACGA